UUAUGUUCUGUUAUUUCCAGCAAUACCAAAGAUUGAGACUCAAGGAGAAAAGACUUGGAGCGCAUGGAACAGUUCUUUUCUACCAAAACUGAAACUCCCAAGUUAAGAAUUGUAACUUUUCUCUGUGGGCAAGAAAGGACUAAAGUCCCCAGGGCUAUUGCUUCCUCAUUAAAGUUUGUAUGACUUUUAUCAUUACCCAGGAAGAUUAAAGUUGUCAUGAUGUUUUGGUAUUCUUGAAAAUACCUCUCUCAGACAAGAAGUGAUUCUAGCCUGGAAAAAUGAUUAACUGGAAAGUGAUAUGAUUGAUAGGCAAAAUAAUACAGUAGAUAGGAAAUCAUGAGAAAAUCAGAGACAAUGAAUAUGAAGCAAUUCCAAUAACGCUUCGUAUGCAAAGAUUAAGUGUCAUUAUGUGAAAAUGUCAAGGAUGUGAUACAGAAGGAGAUGCUACAUGCAACAGUGUAUACCUAAGUAACCAAACUCCAAGCCAUGUAAUGCACUGGACACCAAAACUGUAUGCUUAGAAGAGCAGUUAUUUAAAUAAUUUAAGGUUUACAAUUUAAUUAUUAUUUAAUCAUUUAAAGUUAUUAGUGGAAUAAAAAUCUAUCCAAAGCUUUACAGUUGUGCAAAUGUAUCAGUUCCAUCUCUGAAAUCUUCAAAUUGUAUAUCCUAGAUUUUGAUAUAGAGUUAACGAUGCUUGCUGGGAUUCUGAUUGCUUCCUAAAAUGUGGUAUUGGAAGAGAGGAUUCAAAAGUAGGUAGAACCUUAGUUCAGCCUGACAUGGUUCAUGCUGAACCCCAGUUUCCCUCAAAAUGAGAUUUUGUGUGCAUAUUACUCAAAGUAUUAUUUUGAAAUCAAGCCAGACCAAGGAUGAAGACAUGAAAGUAGAAAUUAGGAUGAAGAUCCCUCAAAACCACAGUGCCAGGGGUGGGAAAAUAAACAAAGUUGAAAAGGGAAUGUGAGUCUACAGAGAAAAAAAAAGAAAAAAGAAAGAAGAAAAAAAGUGUGAGUAAUCAACACUGAAGCUCAGUGAAGCUAAAGGGGGAGAAGAAAAAUACUGAAAUGAAAGCCAGAGCAGUGGCAAAGUCCAAUUAUCUCUUUAUGUGUUAAUGGAGACAGUACUGGGAUAUCCCAGCCAGCAGUUAUGUCACAAUGCUGAGACAGCUGGGACAGCAUCCGCCUCCCUUCUCUCCUCAUCUGGACAUCUGCUUCAUCCUCUCUGUCCUAACAGGAGGUAUUCCUCACUCCUCAAGAGUUUACAAAACCUUGGUUGAACUUACACAGCCCGCUUUCAGCAGCCUAUCAGGAGUGAAGACAAACAGAAAGGAGGACACAUUGUGUCUUGGGUUGAGCUCACUCGCCCACUUGAAAUCGCACUUUGAAUGUGUAUGUGUUUGUGGCAGUUAAACCAGGGAGUUGAUGAGCUUUUGAACUUCCAAGGAAACAAGGUGAUUUGGAUAAAAAAAUAAUCAGAACAAAUCCCACUUGACUGUAAUGACAGGAGCAAAGAAAUGACAAGAUGUCUGGAGUGUAAACUGCUUGUGAACUGGAUGCGAUAUUGUGCCCACCUCUUUUUUCAUCUCCCCACCUGACUGUCAAGUUCCGGGACCUAUGAUCACUUGUGUCAUGUCUAAGCCAUGGAGGUGGCCCAGCCUUGAUCCCUGCAGGCCUCUGAAGUCACCCAUGGAGCAUUACAGAGGUCUUAAAUAUGUGCCUGUAUUACUGCAUGGCUAAAAAACAGACACCCAUGGUGCGAGGAGGGGAAUAGUGUGGUUUAUUCGUGUCACGAGGGGGAUAUUGUAUUGUUUCACAGCUUAUGGAAUAUGCAUCAGUCUCACAGGAAGCCCUUUGGAAGGAGUUUCACAAUAGGAUCUGGUUUCAAGAGCUGAAAUUUCACCUGAAAAUAUGGAAUUUGCAGAGAUGGAAAGCCUACUGUUAUUUCCUCUGUGCAUUGUCAAAGCACAUCCUGGGGUAAUGAAACAUUUGUGCAUUAAAGUAUGUGUUUGAAGCAAUGAAAA